rnacentral:rRNA from 1 species
GACGAACGCUGGCGGCGUGCUUAACACAUGCAAGUCGAACGGAAAGGCCUGCUUUCCCUUGUGGAUUGCGGGUACUCGAGUGGCGAACGGGUGAGUAACACGUGAGUGAUCUGCCCCCAACUUGGGUAUAAGCCUGGGAAACUGGGUCUAAUUCCCGAUAGGACUGCAGGGUGGUGCCUGUGGUGGAAAACGUUUUUCUAGUGGUUGGGGAUGAGCUCGCGGCCUAUCGGCUUGGUGGUGGGGUAAUGUCCUACCACGGCGGCGACGGGUAGCCGGAGUGAGAGGGUGGACGGCAAAAUUGGGACUGGGACACGGCCCAGACUCCUACGGGAGGCAGCAGUGGGGAAUAUUUCAGAGUGGGCGGAAGCCUGAAGCAGCGACGCCGCGUGGGGGAUGACGGGCUUCGGGUUGUAAACUCCUUGCGACCGCGAGGAAGCCACGUGGUUGGAAGGGUGGUGACGGUAGUGGUAGAAGAAGCACCGGCUAACUACGUG